GUGUGUGAAUAAGUGAGUGGGUAUAUGGGUGUGUAUAUGGGUGUGUAUAAGGGUGUGUAUAAGGGUGUGUAUACGGGUGUGUAUAAGGCUGUGUGUAUACGGGUGAGUAUAAGGUUGGGUGUACGGGUGUGUAUACGGGUGUGUAUAAGGGUGUGUGAAUAAGUGACUGUAUACGGGUGUGUGUAUAUGGGUGUGUAUAAGGGUGUAUAAGGGUGUGUGUGAGGCUGUGUGUAUAAGGCUGCGUGAAUAAGUGAGUGUGUAUACAGGUGUGCAUAAGGGUGUGUAUAAGGCUGUGUAUACAGGUGUGUAUAAGACCGAGUGUAUGAGACUGUGUGCAUAGGAGUGUGUAUAAGGGUAUGUAUACUGGUGUGUAUAAGGGUGUGUGAAUAAGUGAGUGUGUAUACGGGUGUGUAUAAGGGUGUAUAAGGGUGUGUAUAGGGUUGUGUGUAUAAGGGUGUGUGAAUAAGUGAGUGUGUAUACGGGUGUGUAUAAGGGUGUAUAAGGGUGUGUAUACGGGUGUGUAUAGGGUUGUGUGUAUAAGGGUGUGUGAAUAAGUGAGUGUGUAUACGGGUGUGUAUAAGGGUGUAUAAGGGUGUGUAUACGGGUGUGUAUAGGGUUGUGUGUAUAAGGGUGUGUGAAUAAGUGAGUGAGUAUACGAGUGUGAAUAAGGGUAUGUGAAUAAGUGAGUGAGUAUAUGGGUGUGUGUAUAAAGGUGUGUGAAUAAGUUGGUGUGUAUAAGGGUGUGUAUAUGAGUGUGUAUACGGGUGUGUACACGGGUGUGUAUAAGGGUGUGUGUAUACGCGGGUGUGUAUGUGGGUGUGUAUACGGGUGUGUGUAUAAGGGUGUGUGAAUAAGUGAGUGUGUAUACAAGUGUGUAUAACGUUGUGUGUAUAAAGGUGUGUGAAUAAGGGUGUGUGUAUACGGGUGUGUGUAUACGGGUGUAUAAGGGUGUGGGUAAGGCUGUGUGAAUAAGGGUGUGUGAAUAAGGGAGUGUGUAUACGGGUGUGUGAACAAGUGAGUGAGUAUACGGGUGUGUAUAAGGG
ensembl:lncRNA